AUAUUGUAUUAUGCUGGGAGGGCAUAUCCGCCGAAUUUAAGCAUAUAAUUAAGCGGAAGAAAAGAAAAUAACAAUGAUUCCUUUAGUAACGGCGAGUGAACAAGGAAAAGCUCAAAAGGAAAAUCCGCUUCGUGGUGAAAACUACGGUGUGGAAUUGUCUGGUUGGGGUUUAUUCCUCCCUAUGCUUUUGUUGGGUACGAAAUGAGUAGGAAUACUAUUCCUUAGAGGGUGAAAGGCCCGUAGUUCCCUACAAUUAUAGGUGGAAUUUUCCCCGUAGAGUCGUGUUCUUUGAGAUUGGAGCACAAAUGCGUGUGAUACAUUUCACAUAAAGCUAAAUAUUUGUAGGAGACCGAUAGCAAACAAGUACCGUGAGGGAAAGAUGAAAUAGUACUCAGGAAUGAGGCUUAAAUAGUACCUGAAAUCGUUAAGAUGGAACGGAUUGAGAGAGAAAUAACGUAAGAUGGGAUUUAUUUCCCUGCUCCCCCGGAGCACGUUUUAAUUCCUAUCUUAUUAAAAGGAGCAUCAGUAAAAUAUAGCAUUUGCAUUAUAGUUAAACAGUUAUCUUUGCUCCGGCAAAGACAUCCUAUCUGCUUCCGCUAAUAUGGUCGUAGAAAUAACUAUUCUUGCUUGCUACAUUUACUGAGGACCCCCAAUGCCGGGGCAAUGCCCCGGUCAUUUACGUUGCUUCUAAAAAGUACUUUCUUAACCCACUCGUCUUGAAACACGGACCAAGGAGUCUAACAAAUGUGCGAGCGUAUAUAAUUUGAACUAUAACAAAGAAUGAAAAUUCUUAAUGUACGCGUAAUUAAUGUAAUUAAUUGGUAGAAUUUUAGGGUGCUCCCUAAAAUGCAUACCAUGCCGGUUGGCGAUUAUGCUUAAUUGAGUAUGAGUAUAUUUGUUAGGACCCGAGAGGCUUUGAACUAAGCGUGAUGAGAUUGAAGUCAGACGAAAGUCUGAUGGAAGAUCGAAUUGAUACUGACGUGCAAAUCGUUCAUUUCAAUCACGUUUAGGGGCGAAAGACUAAUCGAAAGGCCUAUUAGCUGGUUAUUUUCGAAAGAUCUCUCAGGAUCGCUGGAGUUGAUUAAUAUAGUUUUACGAGGUAGAGAUAAUGAUUAGAGGAAUCAGGGAAAUCGUUUUCCUUGACCUAUUCUCAAACUCCCAAUACGUAAUAAGGGAUUAAUAUCUUAACUGUAUUUUUCCCACCUAUAAAUAAAAUAACUCCAAGUGGGCCAUUUUUGGUAAGCAGAACUGGCGAUGAGGGAUGCUCCUAACGCUUGGAUAAGGUGCCUAAAUAUUCGCUCAUGAGAUCCCAUAAAAGGUGUUGGUUCAUAAUGACAGUAGGACGGUGGUCAUGGAAGUCGAAAUCCGCUAAGGAGUGUGUAACAACUCACCUACCGAAUGAACUAGCCCUGAAAAUGGAUGGCGCUAAAGCGGAUUACCGAUACCAAGCCAUAGAAAGAGAAUUAAAGGUUAAUUGUGGUUCGCCCCAAUUAAUCUUUUUUUAAACCUUUCUAUGAGUAGAAAAUCGUGGGGUUUGUGUAGAAGCAAUAUGCGUGAGCUAUUGUGGAACAUAUCCCUAGUGCAGAUCUUGGUGGAAGUAGCAAUUAUUCAAAUGAGAACUUUGAAGACUGAAGUGGAGAAGGGUUUCUUGUCAACUGUGAUUGUACAAGAGUUAGCCGCUCCUAAGGGAAAGCUGAAAUGCGUUAAAUGGGGAUUUGAUGCCGCGGGCAACCGCGACCACUCUCCCCGUCCCGAAAGGGAAACAGGUUGAUAUUCCUGUGCCGAUAGUAAUUUGGGUAUUGGAGAUGGUAACAUAUAUAUAAAUGAACUCCUUUACGUAGGUCUUACACUCGGGGUGCGUUUUCUUUGCACUUUAACUUUAUAGCCGACCUCGGAAUCAAUUUAGUUGGAGAAGAGGUUUGCCGAAUCCAAUUCGGGGCAAUCUGAUAAGGGCGGAGCAAUCCGCCUUUUUUAUGAUUCCCCGUUUUGAGUAAUAGUAAUUCAUUUUUAUGGAUUAUCCGAAGCCGUAAGGACUACCCUUGAAAAAAGGAGGGAACAGCAAGAGGCAAGUUUACUUGCCUCUUGCCGCCCUGAUUUACUUGUAUGAGCGUACCAACAACCGCAUCAGGUCUCCUAGGUUAACAGCCUCUGGUUAAAUAGAAAUAAGUAAGUAAGGGAAGUCGGCAAAAUAGAUCCGUAACUUCGGGAAAAGGAUUGGCUCUGAGGACAUUUGAAUAGAGAAGUUUAAAUUAACGUUUGAAAAAUGAUAUAAGGAAAGCACCUUGGUUCGCCAAGGUGUUUUUAUUUUAUUUCGUUUUCCUCAUGUUUAUUUUAUUCUAUCCCUCUAUUCGCCGCUGUUUGGUCGUUACUUCGGUGAUGAUCUUAUGGCUCUAACAUGUUAACUCAGAACUGAAACGGACAAGGGGAAUCCGACUGUUUAAUUAAAACAUAGCAUUGUGAAAGCCACAAAUGGUAUUAACACAAUGUGAUUUCUGCCCAG
rnacentral:rRNA from 1 species